UGGAGGAAAGCAGGGGAUCGCAAGACCUUGCGCUUUUGGAGCGGCCGAUGUCUGAUUAGCUAGUUGGUGAGGUAAAGGCUUACCAAGGCUUCGAUCAGUAGCUGGUCUGAGAGGACGACCAGCCACACUGGGACUGAGACACGGCCCAGACUCCUACGGGAGGCAGCAGUGGGGAAUUUUGGACAAUGGGGGAAACCCUGAUCCAGCCAUGCCGCGUGAGUGAAGAAGGCCUUCGGGUUGUAAAGCUCUUUCAGCCGGAACGAAAAGGUUACGGUUAAUACCCGUGACUAAUGACGGUACCGGAAGAAGAAGCACCGGCUAACUACGUGCCAGCAGCCGCGGUAAUACGUAGGGUGCGAGCGUUAAUCGGAAUUACUGGGCGUAAAGCG
rnacentral:rRNA from 1 species